UGUGUACUCCCUCCGUUCCAAAAUACUUGACUUCCAUUUGUCCAAAAAUGGAAGUACCUAUAUACUAAGACAUGUCUAGAUACAUAUAUAUUUUGACAAAUAGAAGGCAUGUAUUGUGCAACGGAGGGAGUAGAAU
rnacentral:pre_miRNA from 1 species